UCUGCUGGUCUGUAACGCGGAAACUUGGAAACUGCAGCCCAGAGAAGGAGCUUCGUCCUUGAAUGUGGAGCUAGGUCCACCCAGGUGUUUUGCACAGCUGAAUGGUUGCCAUGGAGAUUAAAGGAUUUGUCAGAUAUGCAUGAAAGAAUUAAGGCAACACUCC